rfam:Schistosoma curassoni strain Dakar, Senegal genome assembly, scaffold: SCTD_scaffold0006080
GCACUGCUGAGGAGUCCCACAAUAGGACGAAAUGAACAUUUAGUGC